UACAGAGGUGGCAAGCGUUGUUCGGAAUUACUGGGCGUAAAGGGCGCGUAGGCGGACAGUUAAGUUGGGGGUGAAAGCCCGGGGCUCAACCUCGGAAUUGCCUUCAAUACUGGCUGUCUUGAGUGUGAGAGAGGUGUGUGGAACUCCGAGUGUAGAGGUGAAAUUCGUAGAUAUUCGGAAGAACACCAGUGGCGAAGGCGACACACUGGCUCACUACUGACGCUGAGGCGCGAAAGCGUGGGGAGCAAACAGG
rnacentral:rRNA from 1 species